rnacentral:rRNA from 1 species
GGAGGUAGUGACAAUAAAUCACAAUGCGGAACAAUGUUUUGCAAUUGGAUUGAGAACAACGUACAAACCUUAUCGAUAAACAAUUGGAGGGCAAGUCUGGUGCCAGCAGCCGCGGUAAUUCCAGCUCCAAUAGCGUAUAUUAACGUUGUUGCAGUUAAAAAGCUCGUAGUUGAAAUGAAGGGUAGUUGUGUAAUGAAUACAUUCGUGUAUUUUGUUAUUCAAGUACCCUCCUUCUAAAUUCGAUAUAUGAGUAUUAAUUUACUUGUAUAUGGUUUUAGACAUUUACUGUGAGAAAAUUAGAGUGUUCAAAGCAGGCAUUUGCUUGAAUAUAUUAGCAUGGAAUAAUCAUGUAUGAUUUUCAUGAUGUAUUUGAUUGGUUUGGUUGAUGAGAAUAAGAUUAAAAGGGACAGUUGGGGGUAUUCAUAUUCAAUAGUCAGAGGUGAAAUUCUCGGAUUUAUGGAAGAUGAACAAGUGCGAAAGCAUUUACCAAGGAUGUUUUCAUUAAUCAAGAACGAAAGU